GUAUAUCAAUUGUGUUUUUCGCUUGCUACUUUGGAUUAAAUAAAUAAUUACAAAGCCCGGUGGAAUUGUAAUCAAGACCCAGCGUUUAGACACUCCAGUCUAGUGUCUUCUUUAGGAGUGAUCUAAAGUUGUAAUUGUGGCUUCUUAAAUACCCAAGGGAUGACAUCACCUGCCAAUAAGAUGCAUGUAUUCCUCUGGCAAAUAGGCACCGUCAUCCCUAUUCACAGCAUAAUUACUCAUAUUUAUAUGCCAUGCUUCUAGGCAUAGUCUUUGACCAUGAUAGCGAUUGUUUGUGGUAAUUACUUUAGAUUUUUCCGACACAAUCUCGUGUUUGGUGCCACACACAUGUUCUGAUAAAGCUGAUUUUCCCUUGUUUUAAAGUUGAAACAGCCUUUUGAUGUUCUUUUAGCCAUGUACCAAACUAGUGUUAAGACUGACCCAAAUACUCUUUUUCGCAGUCACCGCAUGGUAUAGAAUAUACAGCAUGAGUUUUCUGAUUUGUUUUAACAGGAUCUUUUGGCUUUGCGAAAAUAUGGCCUAAAGUCAAAUACGGUUUUAAGGCAACAUUAAUAUCAUAUUACAUGCAUCUCAUUGGCAGGUGACGUCAUCCCUUGGGUAUUUAAGAAGCGACAAUUGCAACUUUAGAUCACCCCUGAUGAAGACACUAGACUGGAGUGUCAAAACGUUGGGUCUUCAUUACAAUUCAACUGGACUUUGUAAUAAUUUAUUUAAACCAGAGUAGCGAGCGAAACAUGCUCCCAGUUAGUUCUAUGAAACACAUGUUAACUGACUGUACAGUUUCCAUUUGAAAUGUCCAUCUACAAAAACCCAUGAUCAGUCUGCUAUUAUUGCCUUGCUAGAGUAGGCUGUUGAUUGUCUCCUAUAUUUAAUAUUGGCUAUUUGCAACAUCCUGCAAUCCAUCAUAUUAUACACAUCCAGCCAUGAUAUCAUCAAUCAAACUUUGAACUUAGAACUGCAUUCAAAGAAUGUUAUCGAGCGUAAGAAUAUAUCAUUAUAUGCUAAAGCAAAUUGUAUUUCCUGUUACAAUACUGUAUACCUUGUAUAUAGAGGGAUAAUAAAUUAUUUUGACUUCAGGAGGGCUAUUAUAGCAUGCAUGAUUUAAGGAGCAGCAACUCAGCAAGGGGCUCAUUUUGGGGGCAUUCCUCGCAUGUUCCGCUGCAUGUACUCACAUGCAUGUUUACUAUUCCAAAAUGUUUCAUGGUUUUAUUGUGAAAUUAAAGUUAUUACAAAGAUCGACGUGAUUUAGUUAUAUUAUAUAUAUAGGAUUGAGUAAUAUAACUUCGUUAAAUUUCAUUGAAAUAAAUUUUAUUCAAGUGUUUGAUUUAUGGCUAUUGGUGAAUAUACUUUUCAAGACUGCAUGCAUGCACAAGUUAGGUAACGCGUGUUAAUUUAAUUUGCUUUUCACUGACAAUUUGAGUGAAAACUGUCGGUUUGUUUACUGAUUUCAGUAAAGUGAUGUUGUACUCAAGAAUUUGAGUCACUGUGCGUGAAUUUGCUUUACUCAUAAAUUUGAGUAUUUU